GGCUGUAUAGCUCAGUUGGCUAGAGCAUUCGGUUCAUACCCGGAGUGUCAUUGGUUCGAAUCCAAUUACAGCCACCA
rnacentral:tRNA from 1 species